UACGUAGGUGGCGAGCGUUGUCCGGAUUUACUGGGCGUAAAGCGCGCGUAGGUGGCUUGCUCAGUCCUGCGUGAAAGGUCCCGGCCCAACUGGGACACUGCGCCGGAUACUGGCAGGCUUGAGGGCAGCAGAGGCCAACGGAAUUCCCGGUGGAGUGGUGAAAUGCGUAGAUAUCGGGAGGAACACCAGUGGCGAAGGCGGUUGGCUGGGCUGUCCCUGACACUGAGGCGCGAAAGCGUGGGGAGCGAACCGG
rnacentral:rRNA from 1 species